rnacentral:lncRNA from 1 species
CUAAAAUAUGUGAUGAUUACGUAACAUUUAUAUGCUUGUAUGUUAAUGACAUGUUGAUUAUAAGUAAUCACAUGGACGGUAUAAAAGAAACAAAGAAGUUUCUAUCUUCCACAUUCAAAAUAAAGGAUCUUGGUCAAGUGGAUACCAUUUUAGGCAUCAAAAUCACAAAGACUAGUGGGGGUUAUCACCUAACUCAAUCACAUUAUAUUGAGAAUGUGAUAAACAAGUUCAAACACUUGAACAUAAAAGAAUAUAGUACCCCGGUUGAUCCAAGUUCAAAGCUUGUAAAGAAUGAUGGAAUGAUGAUUGCUCAAUUGGAAUAUUCUAAUGCAAUCAGAAGUCUUAUGUAUGCAGUUCAAUGCACAAGAUCGGACAUAGCUUAUGCUAUAAGUAAACUUAGCAGGUUUACUAGCAAUCCAAAUAAUAAUCAUUGGAAGGUCAUAUGAAGAGUUCUUGGAUACUUAAAGAAAACCAAGAACCUAGGUAUACAAUAUACAAAAUUCCUGACGGUAUUGGAAGGAUUUACCGACGCUAGUUGGAUAUCUAGUGCGGGUGAGAGUAAAUCCACUACGGGUUGGGUAUUCACUCUUGGAGGAGGUGUUGUUUCUUGGAAAUCAAAGAAACAAACAUGCAUAACAUACUCGACUAUGGUAUCGAAAUUUGUAGCCCCAUCGACUACCGGGAAAGAAACUGAGUGACUUAAGGAUUUUUUUUAUGAGAUACCUUUGGGAUCGAAGAAUAUUUCUUCAAUACCUAUCAUGUGUGAUAGUCAAGCCACAUUAGCAAAAGCAUACAACGAGCAAUACAACGGAAAGUCUAAACACAUGAAUCUUAGACAUAACUAUAUAAGGAAAUUAAUGAAGGAUGAAAUAAUUUCCUUAAAUUAUGUAAGGUCAAUUGAGAAUUUGGCAAAUCCUUUGACUAAAUCUCUAUCUCUAAAUAGAGAUUUAGUAGCAUCUACUUCAAGUAGACAACAACCCUACUUGUCAUUACUCAAAAGGUAAUUUACAGUUCAAAGGGUAAAAACAAGUCAUUCAAUAUGUGGAUAGUUGCAGCAUUAUUAAAACUCGCAAUAAUCAUAUCCUAAUUAAAAUAAUGCUGGUUCUUACUGAAAUAAGGGAUGAGCUUUGAGUUCUUAAUGAAGUUCAGUGCUAAAUCACAAGUACCUCUAAAAGUAAUAAAGAUAUUGAAAGAACUUCACCUGAAUAAUCUUCAAGGUGGUGCCGCCUUAAUAGAGAGUUGGAGUUUCUCUCUUAAAAAAUUGUUGAAAAGGAUAAGCGCAAGGCCAUAAAAGCGCUAAGCGAGUUAUGAGAAACUUGAGAACACGUGGUACUCUCGUAUGUGUUCUAACCUGUAUUCUCAUAUGGAAUAACUGGUUCAAAGCUACACGUUACCUUUGAUUCCGACUAUACUUUGUUUGAAUUGUACUAUGGUUAGAUUCAAAUAAAAAGAUAUAUAAUCCUUAUACAUAAAUAUUGUAUACUAUGAAUAUGAGACUUGUUAAUUUUGAACAAGUGGGGGAUUGUUGUG